UACGGGGGGGGCAAGCGUUGUUCGGAAUUACUGGGCGUAAAGGGCGCGUAGGCGGCCUUCUAAGUCAGACGUGAAAUCCCCCGGCUUAACCUGGGAACUGCGUCUGAUACUGGGAGGCUCGAGUAUGGGAGAGGGAUGUAGAAUUCCAGGUGUAGCGGUGAAAUGCGUAGAUAUCUGGAGGAAUACCGGUGGCGAAGGCGGCAUCCUGGACCAUAACUGACGCUGAGGCGCGAAAGCUAGGGGAGCAAAUGGG
rnacentral:rRNA from 1 species